rnacentral:rRNA from 1 species
UACGUAGGCAGCAAGCGUUGUUCGGAGUUACUGGGCGUAAAGGGUGUGUAGGCGGUUGGAUAAGUGUGGUGUGAAAUCUCCCGGCUCAACUGGGAGGGUGCGCUACAAACUGUCUGACUAGAGUGUGGGAUGGGAAAGUGGAAUUCCUGGUGUAGCGGUGAAAUGCGUAGAUAUCGGGAGGAACACCUGCGGCGAAAGCGGCUACCUGGACCAUAACCGACGCUGAGGCGCGAAAGCUAGGGGAGCAAACAGG